CCUACGGGUGGCAGCAGUAGGGAAUUUUCGUCAAUGGGCGCAAGCCUGAACGAGCAAUGCCGCGUGAACGAGGAAGGUCUUCGGAUCGUAAAGUUCUGUUGAAGGGGAAAAAGAGCGGAGAGAGGAUAUGGUCUCCGAUUGAUAUUACCCUUCGAGGAAGUCACGGCUAACUACGUGCCAGCAGCCGCGGUAAUACGUGGGUGGCGAGCGUUAUCCGGAAUGAUUGGGCGUAAAGGAUGCGUAGGCGGCCUGCUAAGUCUGGAGUGAAAGGUACCGGCUCAACCGGUACAGGCUCUGGAAACUGGCGGGCUAGAGAGCAGGAGAGGGCGGUGGAACUCCAUGUGUAGCGGUAAAAUGCGUAGAUAUAUGGAAGAACACCAGUGGCGAAGGCGGCCGCCUGGCCUGUUACUGACGCUGAGGCACGAAAGCGUGGGGAGCAAAUAGGAUUAGAUACCCGAGUAGUC
rnacentral:rRNA from 1 species